rnacentral:rRNA from 1 species
AAAGGUAAAAUUGGUUUGUUAAUUAUAAAUGAGGAAGUGGUAUUGAAGCUAAAAAAAUUUAGAAAUAAAAUAGGAUUAGAUACCCUGUUAUACUAGAUUAAAAAGUAAAAGCUUAAAUAUUAAUAGUUAUAUACUUUAAACUUAAAGGAUUUGGCGGUGUUUUAGUCCGGUCAGAGGAACCUGUUUCUAUAGAACGAUAAACCACGCAUUAUCUUACUUUAGUUUGUAUACCGUCAUUAUUAGAUGAUUUUUAAAAAAUAAAUUGUUUAAAUAAAUUAAAAUUUAGUAUAUUAGAUCAAGGUGCAGCUAAUGAUUAAGUUGGAAUGGGUUACAAUAAAUUUAAUUUAAAUGGAUCUAGCGUUAGUGAAGGAGGAUUUGAUAGUAUUUGAGGUUAAUAAGAUUAGAUGAUAAUGGCUCUAAAAUAUGUACAUAUCGCCCGUCGCUUUC